GUAGGGAAUAUUGGACAAUGGGCGAAAGCCUGAUCCAGCAAUGCCGCGUGAGUGAUGAAGGCCUUAGGGUUGUAAAGCUCUUUUACCAGGGAUGAUAAUGACAGUACCUGGAGAAUAAGCUCCGGCUAACUCCGUGCCAGCAGCCGCGGUAAUACGGAGGGAGCUAGCGUUGUUCGGAAUUACUGGGCGUAAAGCGCGCGUAGGCGGCGAUUUAAGUCAGAGGUGAAAGCCCGGGGCUCAACCCCGGAAUAGCCUUUGAGACUGGAUUGCUAGAAGCCUGGAGAGGUGAGUGGAAUUCCGAGUGUAGAGGUGAAAUUCGUAGAUAUUCGGAAGAACACCAGUGGCGAAGGCGGCUCACUGGACAGGUAUUGACGCUGAGGUGCGAAAGCGUGGGGAGCAAACAGGAUUAGAUACCCGAGUAGUCC
rnacentral:rRNA from 1 species